rnacentral:rRNA from 1 species
GAUGAACGCUAGCUACAGGCUUAACACAUGCAAGUCGAGGGGCAGCAUGGUCUUAGCUUGCUAAGGCCGAUUGCGACCGGCGCACGGGUGAGUAAAGCGUAUCCAACCUGCCUUCUAGUCUUGGACAGCCUUCUGAAGGGAAGAUUAGUACAAGAUGGCAUCAUGAGUUCACAUGUUGACAUGAUUAAGGGUAUUCCGGUAGACGAUGGGGAUGCGUUCCAUUAGGUAGUAGGCGGGGUAACGGCUCACCUAGUCUUCGGUGGAUAGGGGUUCUGAGAGGAACGUCCCUCACAGUGGAACUGAGCCACGGUCCAAACUCCUACGGGAGGCAGCAGUGAGGAAUACUGGUCAAUGGGAGAGAGCAUGAACCAGCCAAGUAGCGUGAAGCAUGACUGCCCUAGGGGUUGUAAACUUCUUUUAGAAAGGAAUAAAGUCGGGUAUGUAUACCCGUCUGCAUGUACUUGAUGAAUAAGGAUCGGCUAACUCCGUG